rnacentral:rRNA from 1 species
UACGGAGGAGGCAAGCGUUGUUCGGAAUUACUGGGCGUAAAGGGCUCGUAGGCGGCCAACUAAGUCAGACGUGAAAUCCCUCGGCUUAACCGGGGAACUGCAUCUGAUACUGGAUGGCUAGAGGUUGGGAGAGGGAUGCGGAAUUCCAGGUGUAGCGGUGAAAUGCGUAGAUAUCUGGAGGAACACCGGUGGCGAAGGCGGCAUCCUGGACCAAUUCUGACGCUGAGGAGCGAAAGCCAGGGGAGCAAACGGG